ACUCCUACGGGAGGCAGCAGUGAGGAAUAUUGGUCAAUGGGCGCAAGCCUGAACCAGCCAUGCCGCGUGCAGGAUGACGGUCCUAUGGAUUGUAAACUGCUUUUGUACGGGAAGAAACACUCCUUCGUGAAGGAGCUUGACGGUACCGUAAGAAUAAGGAUCGGCUAACUCCGUGCCAGCAGCCGCGGUAAUACGGAGGAUCCAAGCGUUAUCCGGAAUCAUUGGGUUUAAAGGGUCCGUAGGCGGUUUUAUAAGUCAGUGGUGAAAUCCGGCAGCUCAACUGUCGAACUGCCAUUGAUACUGUAGAACUUGAAUUAUUGUGAAGUAACUAGAAUAUGUAGUGUAGCGGUGAAAUGCUUAGAGAUUACAUGGAAUACCAAUUGCGAAGGCAGGUUACUAACAAUAUAUUGACGCUGAUGGACGAAAGCGUGGGUAGCGAACAGGAUUAGAUACCCUGGUAGGAUAGCGU
rnacentral:rRNA from 1 species